rnacentral:rRNA from 1 species
CCUACGGGUGGCUGCAGUGGGGAAUAUUGGACAAUGGGCGAAAGCCUGAUCCAGCCAUGCCGCGUGUGUGAAGAAGGCCUUCGGGUUGUAAAGCACUUUCAGUGGGGAAGAAAGCCUUGGGGCUAAUACCCUCGAGGAAGGACAUCACCCACAGAAGAAGCACCGGCUAACUCCGUGCCAGCAGCCGCGGUAAUACGGAGGGUGCGAGCGUUAAUCGGAAUUACUGGGCGUAAAGCGCGCGUAGGCGGUCUGAUAAGCCGGUUGUGAAAGCCCCGGCCUCAACCUGGGAACGGCAUCCGGAACUGUCAGGAGAGAGUGCAGGAGAGGAAGGUAGAAUUCCCGGUGUAGCGGUGAAAUGCGGAGAGAUCGGGAGGAAUAACAGUGGCGAAGGCGGCCUUCUGGACGGACACUGACGCUGAGGUGCGAAAGCGUGGGUAGCAAACAGGAUUAGAUACCCGGGUAGUC